rnacentral:rRNA from 1 species
AUUGAACGCUGGCGGCAUGCCUUACACAUGCAAGUCGAACGGCAGCACGGGAGCAAUCCUGGUGGCGAGUGGCGAACGGGUGAGUAAUACAUCGGAACGUGCCCAAUCGUGGGGGAUAACGUAGCGAAAGCUACGCUAAUACCGCAUACGAUCUACGGAUGAAAGCAGGGGAUCGCAAGACCUUGCGCGAAUGGAGCGGCCGAUGGCAGAUUAGGUAGUUGGUGGGGUAAAGGCCUACCAAGCCGACGAUCUGUAGCUGGUCUGAGAGGACGACCAGCCACACUGGGACUGAGACACGGCCCAGACUCCUACGGGAGGCAGCAGUGGGGAAUUUUGGACAAUGGGCGCAAGCCUGAUCCAGCCAUGCCGCGUGCAGGAUGAAGGCCUUCGGGUUGUAAACUGCUUUUGUACGGAACGAAACGGCGCUUUCUAAUACAGAGCGCUAAUGACGGUACCGUAAGAAUAAGCACCGGCUAACUACGUGCCAGCCGCCGCCGUAACAC